CAAUAGCGUAUAUUUAAGUUGUUGCAGUUAAAAAGCUCGUAGUUGGAUUUCGGAUGGGAUUUGCCGGUCCGUCGUUACGAUGUGCACUGGCCAGUCCUAUCUUGUUGUCGGGGACUAGCUCCUUGGAUUCACUUCCUGGGACUAGGAGCUGACGAGGUUACUUUGAGUAAAUUAGAGUGUUCAAAGCAAGCCUACGCUCUGAAUACAUUAGCAUGGAAUAACACGAUAGGACUCUGGCUUAUCUUGUUGGUCUGUGAGACCAGAGUAAUGAUUAAGAGGGACAGUCGGGGACAUUCGUAUUUCAUUGUCAGAGGUGAAAUUCUUGGAUUUAUGAAAGACGAACUUCUGCGAAAGCAUUUGCCAAGGAUGUUUNCAUUA
rnacentral:rRNA from 1 species